CAGCCUAUUCCCAGGAGACGUGGCACCCUCUGCCCUCAGUGCCUCAUUCGUCGCCACACUCUCCAGGACAUCCAAAGUGUAGUGUCUGGUGAACAUAUCCACCGAUGACCGUGUCACUGCCUGGCAGAUGUCCUGUAGUGGAACACCCUUCAGGAGUGCUGCUGAAGUAGCCUGGGAUCUAGUGGAAUGUGUGUGCACUUCUUGUGGGCAAGACUCGCUAGUGGGACUACAGCUGUGGUGGAUGCCACCAAACCUAGGAGACGCUGUAUCUUUGUGGCGGAUUGGAACUUGUGUUUUAAGAAUAGGUAGGAAGCUCUGUCCACAGAUGCAUCAAGGACAGCACCUAUGAACUGGAUUCUUUUGGAGGGUAUUAACUUGGACUUCUUAUGGUUUACAAUAAGACCCAAUUCUGAGCAGGUUUGAUCUGUUAGGUCCACCUGCCUGUGUACGUCAUUCUCAGAUUGAGCCAAAAUAAGCCAGUCAUCUAAGGGAUAUAUGGAGCAGCCUAAUGUUCUCAAGUAGGCAACAACCACUGUCAAACAUUUCGUAAAAAAACCUGGGAGGCUGAGGAUAGUCCAAAGGAAAGAACUUGAUAUUGAUAAAUAUUCCCUUAGAAUGAAAAUCUCAAAUAUCUCAAUGAGGGGUCGAUAGAGGUGCGAAAAUAUGCAUCUUUCAAGCCUAUUACUGUAAACCAAGAAUUGGGCGGUAAUAAGGCCAUUACCAUGUUUAGGGUGGUCAUUCUGAAUUUGCACAUUGUAAUGAAUCCGUUGAGAUUUCUCAAAUCCAGAAUAUGUCUGUACCCUGUAUCUUUCUUUUGCACCAGAAUCUGGAGUAAAAUCCCAGUUGUUGCUCAUGAUCUGGUACUUUCUGGAAAGCUCCCUUGUCAAUAAGGGCUUUUAGUUUCACCAAAAGUUCUGGUUGAGGGGAAUUAUCUUAGUAGGUUCAGACACAGUAAGUAAUCAAAUUCAACUUUAUAACCGUUGCUUUGAUUAUAUUGCACAUCGAUACAUCCAAUGUGAUCAGACACCUGAGUAAAAACAGCAUAGCCUGUCACCAAAUAAUGGGUUUUUAUUCUGUGCUAGUCAGAACUGCUUGGAACCCUGAGUCUGCUGCUUGCUAGGUUUGGUGUGAGCUCCCUGUCUGGAUCUGUACGUUUGUCUCCUUCUUUGGAAAUUCCCUUGGUUACCGAUAUGGGCAAUAUUGAGGAUUCAAAAACGUCUGGUACGGUUGGUACUGGUACGAUCUGCUCUUGCAGUAGUGUUAUUAUCUAAAUUGGGGCUUUCUGGACCCUUGUCAAGUCGCAGGCAGGACCGUGUGAUCUGCGUCUGUUUUGUGACAAAUAUUCACCUCUUUUCAAAGAAUAGCGAGCAACUCUCGAACAUGAGAUAUAUAACCUUGAUCAAAGGUUUCUGGUCAUCUGGCAGCUAAUUGUAAAAAACUGCAGCUUUGUUCCAUAAAAAUAUUUGGUAAGUGCUCAUCAUAGCGGAAUAGUUGGCAAUUUUUAUGUUGAGUGCAGCCGAUGAGUAUAUCUUAUGUCCAAUGUCAUCUAAUUUUCUCCCUUCUUUACCCGAUGGUGGUGAGCGUAGUCCCUGCCAUUGUUUCGUCUGCAUCUCCUCGGAGACUAAUGAAGAAGGAGGUACAAACAUUUACAAACCGAAGCUAGGAGACUCGACGCGGCACUCUUCUUACCUCUGGUUUGCUGAGACUAGAUGAGACGAG